GGGGGUGUAGCUCAGUUGGUUAGAGCGCAUGUUUCACAUACAUGAGGUCAUAGGUUCGAGCCCUACCAUCCCCACCA
rnacentral:tRNA from 1 species